rnacentral:tRNA from 1 species
GAGGAUGUAGCUCAGUGGUAGAGUGUGUUCUUUACAUGUACAAGGUGCUGGGUUCAAUCCCCAGCCUCCCA